rnacentral:rRNA from 1 species
GACGAACGCUGGCGGCGUGCUUAACACAUGCAAGUCGAACGCUGAAGCCCAGCUUGCUGGGUGGAUGAGUGGCGAACGGGUGAGUAACACGUGAGUAACCUGCCCCCUUCUUUGGGAUAACGCCCGGAAACGGGUGCUAAUACUGGAUAUUCACUGGCCUUCGCAUGGGGGUUGGUGGAAAGGUUUUUUCUGGUGGGGGAUGGGCUCGCGGCCUAUCAGCUUGUUGGUGGGGUGAUGGCCUACCAAGGCUUUGACGGGUAGCCGGCCUGAGAGGGUGACCGGUCACAUUGGGACUGAGAUACGGCCCAGACUCCUACGGGAGGCAGCAGUGGGGAAUAUUGCACAAUGGGCGAAAGCCUGAUGCAGCGACGCCGCGUGAGGGAUGACGGCCUUCGGGUUGUAAACCUCUUUCGCUCAUGGUCAAGCCGCAACUCAAGGUUGUGGUGAGGGUAGUGGGUAAAGAAGCGCCGGCUAACUACGUGCCAGCAGCCGCGGUAAUACGUAGGGCGCGAGCGUUGUCCGGAAUUAUUGGGCGUAAAGGGCUUGUAGGCGGUUGGUCGCGUCUGCCGUGAAAUCCUCUGGCUUAACUGGGGGCGUGCGGUGGGUACGGGCUGACUUGAGUGCGGUAGGGGAGACUGGAACUCCUGGUGUAGCGGCGGAAUGCGCAGAUAUCAGGAAGAACACCGGUGGCGAAGGCGGGUCUCUGGGCCGUUACUGACGCUGAGGAGCGAAAGCGUGGGGAGCGAACAGG